GAUGCGNUNCCUACCAUGCAAGUCGAACGGACGAACCCCUUCGGGGGUAAGUUAGUGGCGGACGGGUGAGUAACGCGUGAGCAACCUGCCUUGAAGAGGGGAAUAACAUCUGGAAACAGAUGCUAAUACCGCAUAACGUAGCGGGGCCGCAUGGUUCUGCUACCAAAGAUUUAUCGCUUCGAGAUGGGCUCGCGUCCGAUUAGCUAGUUGGUGGGGUAACGGCCCACCAAGGCUGCGAUCGGUAGCCGGACUGAGAGGUUGAACGGCCACAUUGGGACUGAGACACGGCCCAGACUCCUACGGGAGGCAGCAGUGAGGGAUAUUGCACAAUGGGCGCAAGCCUGAUGCAGCAACGCCGCGUGAGGGAAGACGGUUUUCGGAUUGUAAACCUCUGUCUUCGGUGAAGAACAAAAUGACGGUAGCCGAGGAGGAAGCCACGGCUAACUACGUGCCAGCAGCCGCGGUAAUACGUAGGUGGCGAGCGUUGUCCGGAAUUACUGGGUGUAAAGGGAGCGCAGGCGGGAAAGCAAGUCAGCGGUGAAAACUAUGGGCUCAACCCAUAGACUGCCGUUGAAACUGUUUUUCUUGAGUGGAGUAGAGGCAAGCGGAAUUCCGAGUGUAGCGGUGAAAUGCGUAGAGAUUCGGAGGAACACCAGUGGCGAAGGCGGCUUGCUGGGCUCUAACUGACGCUGAGGCUCGAAAGUGUGGGGAGCAAACAGGAUUAGAUACCCCUGGUAGUCCCACNCCCGUAAACGAUGAUUGCUAAGUGUGGGGGGGNUCUGAACCCCCCUCCCGUGGCCCGGNANCUUAACNCCAAUAAAGCAAUUCUUACCUUGGGGAAGUACCNGCCCNCCNAGGGGUUGAAAACCUCNAAAAGGAAUUUUGACCGGGGGGGCCCNCCCNCAAACCCGGGGGGGAAAUUUUUNNGGGUUUUNAAAUUNCCNAANACCAACCGCCC
rnacentral:rRNA from 1 species